rnacentral:rRNA from 1 species
GACGAACGCUGGCGGCGUGCCUAAUACAUGCAAGUAGAACGCUGAAGGAGGAGCUUGCUUCUCUGGAUGAGUUGCGAACGGGUGAGUAACGCGUAGGUAACCUGCCUGGUAGCGGGGGAUAACUAUUGGAAACGAUAGCUAAUACCGCAUAAUAGUAGAUGUCGCAUGACAUUUGCUUAAAAGGUGCAAUUGCAUCACUACCAGAUGGACCUGCGUUGUAUUAGCUAGUUGGUGAGGUAACGGCUCACCAAGGCAACGAUACAUAGCCGACCUGAGAGGGUGAUCGGCCACACUGGGACUGAGACACGGCCCAGACUCCUACGGGAGGCAGCAGUAGGGAAUCUUCGGCAAUGGACGGAAGUCUGACCGAGCAACGCCGCGUGAGUGAAGAUGGUUUUCGGAUCGUAAAGCUCUGUUGUAAGAGAAGAACGAGUGUGAGAGUGGAAAGUUCACACUGUGACGGUAUCUUACCAGAAAGGGACGGCUAACUACGUG